AUGCUCAUAAAUCAGUUAUAGUUUAUUUGAUAGUACCUUCUACCUGGAUAACCGUGGUAAUUCUAGAGCUAAUACAUGCCAAAAACCUCGACUCACGAAGAGGUGUAUUUAUUAGAUAAAAAACCAAUGCCCUCCGGGGCUCAGUGGUGAUUCAUGAUAACUUAACGAAUCGCAUGGCCUUGCGCCGGCGAUGGUUCAUUCAAAUUUCUGCCCUAUCAACUUUCGAUGGUAGGAUAGUGGCCUACCAUGGUUUCAACGGGUAACGGGGAAUUAGGGUUCGAUUCCGGAGAGGGAGCCUGAGAAACGGCUACCACAUCCAAGGAAGGCAGCAGGCGCGCAAAUUACCCAAUUCUGACACAGAGAGGUAGUGACGAUAAAUACCGAUACAGGGCUCUUUCGGGUCUUGUAAUUGGAAUGAGUACAAUCUAAACCCCUUAACGAGGAACAAUUGGAGGGCAAGUCUGGUGCCAGCAGCCGCGGUAAUUCCAGCUCCAAUAGCGUAUAUUAAAGUUGUUGCAGUUAAAAAGCUCGUAGUUGAACCUUGGGCCUGGCCGAUCUGUCUUCCUAACCGUUGUACGGAUUCGGUCGGGCCUUUCCUUCUGGGGAGCCCCAUGUCCUUCACUGGGCGUGGUGGGGAACCAGGACUUUUACCUUGAAAAAAUUAGAGUGUUCAAAGCAGGCCUUUGCUCGAAUACAUUAGCAUGGAAUAAUGGAAUAGGACAGCAGUUCUAUUUUGUUGGUUUCUAGGACCGCUGUAAUGAUUAAUAGGGGUAGUCGGGGGCGUCAGUAUUCAAUUGUCAGAGGUGAAAUUCUUGGAUUUAUUGAAGACUAACUACUGCGAAAGCAUUCGCCAAGGAUGUUUUCAUUAAUCAGUGAACGAAAGUUAGGGGAUCGAAGACGAUCAGAUACCGUCGUAGUCUUAACCAUAAACUAUGCCGACUAGGGAUUGGACGGUGUUUCUUUUAUGACCCGUUCAGCACCUUACGAGAAAUCAAAGUUUUUGGGCUCUGGGGGGAGUACGGUCGCAAGGCUGAAACUUAAAGAAAUUGACGGAAGGGCACCACA
rnacentral:rRNA from 1 species